AUGACUACAUAUACGCACAGAAAUGAGUUAAAAAAGACACUAGAACAUGUCUUCAAAGGCAUGAGAGCAGAGGGAUUACUUGCAAUAUCCAUAACACAAGUUACUGAGGCAAAUAUACCCUCUUCAAAGGUAGCAUUGAUGUUCAUAAAGUGGUUGAAAGUAAUCUAUAAGAAAUCAGUGUCAACCUCUCGCAUGUUUUGGUCAAAAGAGGAAUUUAGAACUGUCAUUUGGCACACAAAAAUCACAUGCAAGAUCACCCAAAAAGUUGUAAUACUAGUACUAGUACUGUGUAUUAGAUGA
rnacentral:rRNA from 1 species